ensembl:lncRNA
UGCAGGUUUUCACUGGUUAUAUGUAUAUACAAGUCAGAGGGACUAGUGAGAGUAUCAGUACUAGGUAAAGGUUACAAAAUAUCAAAUAUUUGAGAUGCAUAUCUCUUUUUUUUAAGCUUGGGUAGCUAAGGUAAAUAACACUUGGUACGAUUAAUAAGAUCCCAGUGCACGUCCAGUCAGCUGUCAUAUUAACUCUCCUCAUUCAUUGACACGAGAAUAUAUACUAAAUGGCGUGUUAAACAAUGUGGAUAGGAAGAGGAAACAAGUCGAAUUUUGUAUCUAAAAUACAACUUUUCCAGUCUAUUUUGAGUAAGUAGAUGGGUUUUGGAUUGGAUUUUGACUUGGAUGGAUUUUGAACUGGGUGGAUUUUGAGUUGAUCAGUAGAAAGCCCUGAUGGUACUGGCUGUUUUUAGAUGUAGCUGCCCAGGAGUAAUUACUGCAUGGUAAUGUACUAUACAUCUAUUUACUGGAGUAGUGCCUGUACCAGAAUCAUCUUUUGUCUUCCUCUUAGUUUGGAUCCUUGUACUUUAUCUUUCCCAGGCCUGAACCAAGUGCCAGAGGCAAAUCCCUACAUUGCCUACUGCCUUUCAAAAAUAAAAACUAUCCAUCUGAAACUUCUGAAAUAUUAUUCCGCUGUGCCUGAGCCUUACCUCGGAGCAUAGGCAAUAUUCCCUAUGUGACUGGGUCCAGCUGUUCUCUGCUCAGGGGCUGCUCCAACCGCAUCCUCCAUCUCCAGUUUCUGAAGCACAGUGCUUAGAUGCUUGUGGUGGUGAAUUGCAGAGCCCAUGGGGGUCAUGAUCAGCUCCACACCUCAUCUGCAAUGUUGUCAUGUCUGACCAGUAAGGCUUACCUCAUUUCCUGAGAAUUUCUGGAGGAGCCUGAGGAGUUAGAACCAAACUCAUUUUCUUCCAGACAGAUAUUCAGCACCCCUGGAAUUUGGGCCCUGUGUAGAAAUGAGAUAGUUAUUUAUCCAAUCCUGAAAGUUUGUUCCUAAAGUCCAGCAUGCAGAAACUCCAUUGCACAUAUAUUAGAAUAUUCAUUAAAAGUAAGAAUCUCUUGAAAACUUUAUAACAAAUGAAUGAAUAAAUAAAUAAAAUCCAUUUUCCCCUGCAUUCUCAGAGAUGCCCAGGCUACAAGAUCUGGGUGCUGUAGGGUUAAAGGCAAAUAUGUUGUAUUUCUUGUCUGACUUAGAGGCAAAAUUGUCCCCCUGGUUUUGCCAAUAUCAAAUCUGCUACUGACCUCAGUACAUCUGCUCAUAAGUGGCGCAUGGAGAUGUCUUGAUUACACAACAGAACAUGCCCCAUUUUUUACAAUUUAAUUUACCGGAAUUAUUGUUGGUCUGAACUGGCUGAACAAAUGCUGCUACUGAGUUAACUCUUACCAACCAUAAUCAGAAGGCACAACUACGAUAAAAUGGAUGCAAUUGAACAGAUCUGUUUCUGAAGGACUAAUACAAUUGUAAUCUUUGAUAAAUGACAUUUUGUCCUUUUAUUUUUUUAACACAUGGAAUAUUUAUAUUAGAAGUGCAGAAAAAUCACUUCUUUUUCUGCUAAUGAGGACUAAUUUACCUUCUUCCAAGCUCGUUAUGUAGGAACUGUAAAAGCACAGGUGAGGUAUGAAAGCUGUAAGUAUGCCAGCAGACCUUUUUCUGGCACAUAUUUAUAUACGAGUUACUUAUGUGCACACUGUACAGUCAUGCUGAAUGAAGAGCUGUGUGUUCUACACCAGCAGAACUUUUUAAACAAACCACAUUGGUGGAUUCUGAAGAGAGAUGGUGGCUCCAAGCCUGUAACAUCCCUGCCAUAUCGAGCUGCAUUCAUGUCUCUAUGGGGCUUUCUUGGUGUUGACAUUGUGUUGAACCCAUUGGUCUACCCAUUUCCUUUUGACAGGAGUUGUGGCUAUUUUAGUGUUCCAUGAAAAUGAAGUGUGUCAAUGUUAAAUAUAUACAGUUUUGUAUCUAUCCUGUGCAUUCAGCAUUUCCUGUUCUUAGAGUAUAUUAAUUCUGGCAGCUACCUGUGAUUUUAUCUUCCAAUCUGCUGAUCACAGUCAUGCUUAGGUACUGCUCUGUAAUCAAUUCUUUGUCUGUACAUAGAACCUAUUACCUAGUAUUUGAC